rnacentral:rRNA from 1 species
UACGUAGGGGGCAAGCGUUGUCCGGAAUCAUUGGGCGUAAAGAGCGUGUAGGCGGACCGGUAAGUCGGCUGUGAAAGUCCAGGGCUCAACCCUGGGAUGCCGGUCGAUACUGCCGGACUAGAGUUCGGAAGAGGCGAGUGGAAUUCCCGGUGUAGCGGUGAAAUGCGCAGAUAUCGGGAGGAACACCUAUGGCGAAGGCAGCUCGCUGGGACGUUACUGACGCUGAGACGCGAAAGCGUGGGGAGCAAACAGG